rfam:Operophtera brumata OBRT01_Sc00213, whole genome shotgun sequence.
GCUACCGAACGACCGGGUACCACACUGUGCUCUCUCGAGAUAUUAGUGCGGAGUGAACACAGCUGGUGGUAUCUCAGUUGUUCCCUAGUU